AUUGAAAAUUAUUUUAUGUUGCUCACAAUAAUCUCAAGCACCCGCGUAACACGAAAUUAGGGUUUGCAAUGAGUCAUAGAAGAAUGGACCUCGACGACGAAGACAAUGAGGAUUUCGAUGAAGAGGAAGCGGUUGAUGAAGACGAGGAAGAAGUGGAUGAGUGAGUCGAUGAUUACGAUGGCGGUGGAAAAGCUAGCCGCAAGCGCCAAUACAAGAAAGUUUCUGCUUCGAAUUUCUUCAAUGAAGAGGUUGAAGUUGAUACAGGUGAUGAAGAGGAGGAAGAAGAAGGGGAAGACGCAAGGGAAAAUAUCUGAAGCUGGAAAAGAAAUAGUUGCUUCGGUUAUGCAGGACUUGACAGUAGCAAGUCAAGGUUCUUCUGAACCUGAAGCAAGAUGGUUUGAACUGUUUAGUAGCCGAUAUCGAAAAGUUGUCAGCGUUGGCGCAACACUUUUCUUACUCCAGCAAUUGGCUAGAAUAAAUAUCGUUGUUCAAUAUUUAACUCCUGUCUUCCGCAGUGCUGGAAUCACUUCUGAUGUUGCAGCAAGUGCUUUGGUUGGUGCAUCAAAUAUUUUUGGGCCAAUGCCACCAUCUCAUCGGAGAUCACUUUAUACUUAGUUUCAAUGAUUAUGUUUUCUUCAAAAAUAUACAACAUUAUCCCUCUUGUUCAAAGUACCAAGACAAGGCUUACAAAGAGAAAGAUUUGUUACUGUCAUUAAGAGAGAAGCUGCUAGAAGAAUUCUCACCGGAUGAUACGUGUAAGAUUGGAUCUUAGCUGGCCACGAAUAUUCUCAAGGCGUGUCAUGUGGAUUUCUGAAUGAUUUAUUUUGUUCCAAAACUAUUAACUUUGUAAUCGAUGUUUUCACAUUUUUCAGGAUGGUUCAUUAGUUCAUGAUGAUUUUAUCUAUGAACUAUAUGAAAGUAAAUUAAAACAAACUCCAAUAUUGUCCACGGAGGUCCCUACAUUUUUGAGUGCUAAUCAACGUUUAGAAUUAGUAUGUGACACAUUUAUUGCCCUCAUACAUUUUUGUGUUCAUUGGAUUGCAUUAUAAGCUCUUCUCUUACCAGUGACAGAAAAUUUGGCGCAACACUUUUGAGCACAGGUUUUGACCCAUCUCAUCCUGCUGGGAGGAUUUUUGUAUCGACUUCAUUUGAUACGCCUUACGAGGAUAUGGCUGAUAACUGCGAAGUACUUAUAAUGGGAAAGCACAAUAUGUCUAGAUUGACGAGUACCGCCGAUCAAACACAAGAAAGUUCAGCGAACUCCACUUUACCAACUCACGACAGUGAAUCGAAAACCACAGACUCAUCUCCCCAUGACGAUCUCUUGAAGGUCUCUGAAAACAAGAGAGCAUCAACGUCAAUAUCUUUUAUAUUCCAGCUGCCUUCAUUUUUUCAAGGUCUCUGAAAACAAGAGAGCAUCAACGUCAAUAUCUUUUAUAUUCCAGCACAAGUAUAUUGUGUUAGUUUUCACAUUUAUAUGAAUGCUUGAAACCUACAGAAAGAAGAAGCCAUAGCUAUCAACUCGAAUUUUCGUUAAACUAUUACAUAUAGAUGCUUCACAAACAAGAUGUUAAUUAUGUUUUAGCAUAUUAAAUUAAUUAAUUGAUAGUGCAUUCUGGUAUGAUUGUCACUCAGUACUAAGCAACAUAUUGCAUUUUUAUUGUAUGCUUUAUUUUUUGUUAAUCCACAUGGAACUUUUCCCCUUUGAAAAUUUGAUGUCCCAUUAGUAACUCAUCAGCAUUAUGGUCCUUAAUAGUGAUGGAUGCUGAUUUUGUUUUGUAGAUAUUAAAAUUAAGAUCUAAAUAGUUCAAUAAAAUUUAAGUGUUUAUUCAAUUCUUUUUGGAGCUAUUUGUGAUGCCUGCAUAUUAGUUCUCAUAAACUAGUUACAAUUGGUUGCCUUUUGCCUUUAAUUGUAAAUCACUCUGUACCAGAGGAUUUUCCAAUAUAUACUAGUUAUAAUUCAGUAUCCUGUUAAUCUCAAUUUCUCUUUCAUAUUUGUUCUUCAUUUGAUUUUUUGUGUGCAAUCCAAUAAUUGGACAGUUCUUAAGUCAGAAUUUGAUACGGGCAAGAGGUUCAAUUUGAGAGUAUAUUUUUAAAUUUUAGCUUGAGAUUUGCUAUGAUAUUUUUGUGGCGAAUUUGAAGCUAUUUAGUUAGAAAACCUAAAUUGAAGACCGAAUUUAGCUAGAGUUUGGUUGUGAUUUAGCUAGGUAUAUUUAAAUAUUAGCUGGUACUUUGCUAGGAAAUUUUUGUAUAGAUAAUUAGCCACCCAAUCCAUGCUACGGCUUAUAUUGUAGUUAAUCCCAAA